UGAUUAUGCAUCAGAUGGGUCAUCUUAGAAGCAAAUCCCCCUUUGACAAUAAAUGAGCUUUGCACUUCUAAGAGCUUUGUGUUUGUUGCUUUUGUUCGGACAACUGGCCAAUUCCAGAACCCUAGUCAAGUUUGUAAUUUGAAAUUUUAAUCAAUAAUUCGGAGAGAUGACAUGCAGUUUGGUUUAACAGUUCUACUGAUGUCAAUUCGGCUGCCCUGGCUAGAUCCAGCUACAUACAUUGUCGAAAACUUACUGGACUUCUUUGUAGCUUUUUUGAAACUGGUUGCAGCACUUUUCACCUCAAUCACCAAAUCAGAGAUGGGAGGGCAAUCAAAUGCCAAAGCUUCAUGUUUAUGUUUCUUCAACUUUACUUCUCAAUGAAACAAGUUUUGAUGUGCACGCAAGCAUUAAUUAAUUGCCAGUGGUUAGAUGGUUUGGGCACAAAGAAAUCCCAUCUCAUUGGACAA